rnacentral:rRNA from 1 species
GACGAACGCUGGCGGCGUGCCUAAUACAUGCAAGUCGAACGCAGUGGGGACGGGUGCGUAACACGUGGGUAACCUCCCAUCAGAGGGGAUAACAGUUGGAAAAAGGUGCUAAACCGAUACUGAUGGAUGGACCCGGCGUGCAUUAGCUAGUGGGGGGGGGAACGGCUCACCAAGGCCACGAUGCAUAGCCGACCUGAGAGGGUGACCGGCCACACGUGAACUGAGACACGGCCCAGACUCCUACGGGAGGCAGCAGUGGGGAAUCUUCGGCAAUGGACGAAAGUCUGACCGAGCAACUCCGCGUGAAUGAAGAAGGUUUUCGGGUCGUAAAACUCUGUUUUUAGAGAAGCGGUAUCUAACCAGAAAGCCACGGCUAACUACGUGCCAGCAGCCGCGGUAAUUC